GUCCAAGAAAACAGAACACACCCACAAAAGCAGAGGAGAGACUAAAAAGGAAAAGUGCAGGGGUUGCCAGAAAAAUUUCCGGCGGAAACAAAAAUUCCAGACCUCUGGACAGCACCGAGAUCUGCUGUGGGUAAGCAGUGAGAAAAAUGAGGUGGCUAAGUGGACAGUGUAAAAUGAAAGUGACCAGGGGAAUAUUCCGGGAGUACCAAGUUGGUCGGAAUUGUGGGGGGAAAAAACUGUCCAAAAGGAGCCGGUGGAAAAAGUGACCGGAGAAGGGCUCACGCGCGUGGCGCGUGGAUGUCACUGGCGGCGUGUGGGUGG
rnacentral:lncRNA from 1 species